rnacentral:rRNA from 1 species
UACGUAGGUGGCAAGCGUUGUCCGGAUUUACUGGGCGUAAAGAGCGCGCAGGCGGUCGUUCAAGUCGCGUGUGAAAGCCCCCGGCUCAACUGGGGAGGGUCACGCGAUACUGAUCGACUCGAAGGCAGGAGAGGGUAGUGGAAUUGCCGGUGUAGUGGUGAAAUGCGUAGAGAUCGGCAGGAACACCCAGGGGGAAACCAGCCGACUGGGCAUCGACUGACGCUGAGGUGCGAGAGCGUGGGGAGCGAACCGG